AAUUCGUGACCAUUUUUGUUCCUUUUUUUCACAGAAUCGCAGAAUGGUUGGGGUUCGAAGGGACCUCUGGAGAUCAUCUGGUCCAACCCCCCCGCUCAAGCAUGGUCACCUAGAGGAGACUGCCCAGGACUCUGUCCAGACAGCUUUUGAAUAUCUCCAAGGAUUUGCUACUGAAGUAGCUGCAAGACACAUAGCUCAAGAAAGAGAGGAAUAGCAGCAUCUUGGGAAUGAUGGCAUAUCUUGAAAAAUGUCUUGGAAAAACUUCAGAACGGAAAGCCCUACCUUCCCACAACCCUGUAGGUUGCUCUGGGGCUGCCGAAGAACCAGCACGACCUGCCCGUCUUCUCUGAGCAGAGUCACUUCCAACCCUGAGAAGUCGCCUGCACAGGAGUUACCCUGAAGUAACUGGACCCAUCAGCUCUGUGGCAGUGCCCCUAUGAAAGACUGCAGUCCAAACAAAGGGUGCCAUCCGCAUUACCACCGUAUCAGAAGAAGAGUAAGAGUAACAGGAAGAAACUGUAGGUUUAUGCCUAUGCUAAUUUAACACAGACACUCUCUCGCAACUGAUGAUUAAGUAAGUAGCUAGCUUCAUAUUUCAGGUACAAACUUUGUUACACCUGUACAUGCUUUAAAGAACUGGCCUGACAUUCAGAGAUGCCAAGGUCUUUAAAUCCCAGAGCUGACUAGCACUACUAAGUGCUUGAACUUAGAAACUAGUUGGCGAGAUACACUGUAGUCAGCUCCUUAUGCUUCAGUGAGACAUCUCAUAGACCAUGGCAUAAAGCGUUAGACCUUGCUAAACAUUAGCUUACUCUGGAUGUACACACUCAAGUUUUAACAUUUUGGCACUACUGUGUAAUAGAUGUAUGAUUUAUAAUAAAAUCUUCCUUGCAUAUAUUAUUUAUCCGUUA
rnacentral:lncRNA from 1 species